rnacentral:lncRNA from 1 species
AGAGAAGUGAGAGGAAGGAGAAGAAAAGAAGACCCCACAGACCAUGGAGACUGUUGAAUUAGGGCUCAGAGAGGCCCUAGUGAAGUUGUGCUUCAGCUUGGCUUCUGGAACACUGUCCCCUGCUGAACUGGUUUCUUAUGGAUGCCUAAAUGAUGCAAUGCGAUUGGGAGACGGAUAGAGACCCUGUUUGCAGCUGUCACCGCUUCCAAGCAGAGAGCAUGGUAUAGAGAAAGUGCCAAAGAAACAUGUCCUG